UCAAGCGACUAAGUGUAUGUGGUGGAUGCCUUGGCGAUUACAGGCGAUGAAGGACGUCGCAGCCUGCGAAAAGCCGUGGGGAGCUGGCAAGCGAGCACUGAUCCACGGAUGUCCGAAUGAGGGAACUCACCCGCAAGGGUAUCUUGAAGUGAAUACAUAGCUUCAAGAGGCGAACGCAGCGAACUGAAACAUCUAAGUAGCUGCAGGAAAAGAAAUCAACCGAGAUUCUGAAAGUAGCGGCGAGCGAAAUUGGAAGAGCCUGCAAGUGAUAUUGAAUUCGAUACUGGAACGGUCUGGAAAGUCCGGCUACAGAGGGUGAUAGCCCCGUACGGGAAAUUGGGUUCAAGGUACUGAGCUUGCGAAAAGUAGAGCGGGACACGUGAAAUCCUGCUCGAAGAUGGGGGGACCAUCCUCCAAGGCUAAAUACUCGUAAUCGACCGAUAGCGAACCAGUACUGUGAAGGAAAGGCGAAAAGAACCCCGGGAGGGGAGUGAAAUAGAUCCUGAAACCGCAUACAUACAAACAGUAGGAGCCCGCAAGGGUGACUGCGUACCUUUUGCAUAAUGGGUCAGCGACUUACGUUCAAUGGCAAGCUUAACCGAGUAGGGGAGGCGCAGCGAAAGCGAGUCCGAACAGGGCGAUAUGAGUCGUUGGGCGUAGACCCGAAACCAGAUGAUCUAUCCAUGGCCAGGCUGAAGGUGUGGUAACACACACUGGAGGGCCGAACCGACUAGUGUUGCAAAAUUAGCGGAUGAGCUGUGGAUAGGGGUGAAAGGCUAAACAAAUCUGGAGAUAGCUGGUUCUCCCCGAAAACUAUUGAGGUAGUGCCUCGUGUAUGGCUCCAGGGGGUAGAGCACUGUUAUGGCUAGGGGGACAUGGCGUCUUACCAAACCAUGGCAAACUCCGAAUACUUGGAAGUCUGAGCACGGGAGACAGAGCACCGGGUGCUAACGUCCGGACUCAAAAGGGAAACAACCCAGACCGCCGGCUAAGGUCCCUAAUAUUGACUAAGUGGAAAACGAAGUGGGAAGGCUAAGACAGUCAGGAAGUUGGCUUAGAAGCAGCCAUCCUUCAAAGAAAGCGUAAUAGCUCACUGAUCGAGUCUUCCUGCGCGGAAGAUGUAACGGGGCUAAGUCAAUAACCGAAGCCGCGGAUUCGCAGCAAUGCGAGUGGUAGGGGAGCGUUCUGUAAGCCUGCGAAGGCGGAUCCGCGAGGACCGCUGGAGGUAUCAGAAGUGCGAAUGCUGACAUGAGUAACGUUAAAGCGGGUGAAAAGCCCGCUCGCCGCAAGCCCAAGGUUUCCUGCUCUACGUUCAUCGGAGCAGGGUGAGUCGGCCCCUAAGGUCAGGCUGAGAAGCGUAGCUGAUGGGAAGCUGGUUAAUAUUCCAGCACCGAUUUCAAGUGCGAAGGGGGGACGGAGUCCUGAAGGUCAUCCGGGUGUUGGAUAUCCCGGUUUACGAGCGUAGGAGGUUGACAGGCAAAUCCGUCAACGAAUCUCCAAGGCGAAGGAUCGAGGUUGAGAGAUCAACUGAAGUGACUGAAUGGGCUUCCAGGAAAAGCCUCUAAGCGUCAGCUUGGAAUUGACCGUACCGCAAACCGACACUGGUGGGCGAGCUGAAUAUGCUCAGGCGCUUGAGAGAACUCAGGAGAAGGAACUCGGCAAAUUGACACCGUAACUUCGGGAUAAGGUGUGCCUUUGUAGUGUGAAGAGAGAAACACUCCGAGCAUGAAGAGGCCUCAGAGAAUCGGUGGCUGCAACUGUUUACUAAAAACACAGCACUCUGCAAAGAUGAAAGUCGACGUAUAGGGUGUGAUGCCUGCCCGGUGCUGGAAGAUUAAUUGAUGGGGUGCAAGCUCCUGAUCGAAGUCCCAGUAAACGGCGGCCGUAACUAUAACGGUCCUAAGGUAGCGAAAUUCCUUGUCGGGU
rnacentral:rRNA from 1 species